CGCAAGCCUGAUGCAGCCUGCCGCGUGUGUGAAGAAGGCCUUCGGGUUGUAAAGCACUUUCAGUCAGGAGGAAAGGUUAGUAGUUAAUACCUGCUAGCUGUGACGUUACUGACAGAAGAAGCACCGGCUAACUCCGUGCCAGCAGCCGCGGUAAUACGGAGGGUGCGAGCGUUAAUCGGAAUUACUGGGCGUAAAGCGUACGCAGGCGGUUUGUUAAGCGAGAUGUGAAAGCCCCGGGCUCAACCUGGGAACUGCAUUUCGAACUGGCAAACUAGAGUGUGAUAGAGGGUGGUAGAAUUUCAGGUGUAGCGGUGAAAUGCGUAGAGAUCUGAAGGAAUACCGAUGGCGAAGGCAGCCACCUGGGUCAACACUGACGCUCAUGUACGAAAGCGUGGGGAGCAAACAGGAUUAGAUACCCUGGUAGUCCACGCCGUAAACGAUGUCUACUAGAAGCUCGGAACCUCGGUUCUGUUUUUCAAAGCUAACGCAUUAAGUAGACCGCCUGGGGAGUACGGCCGCAAGGUUAAAACUCAAAUGAAUUGACGGGGGCCCGCACAAGCGGUGGAGCAUGUGGUUUAAUUCGAUGCAACGCGAAGAACCUUACCUACACUUGACAUACAGAGAACUUACCAGAGAGGUUUGGUGCCUCGGGAAC
rnacentral:rRNA from 1 species